GCUGCUGGCUAAGGGAGUCACUGUUGUUUCAAAAACCUAUCAAAAUCGGGUAGAUCAAUAGGGCUGGUGCAGGCGUAGACAUUUAUGUGUAUGCUGUACAAUGAUAUGACAGCCUUUUUUCGUUUAACCUGAAAUGCUCACGGCGUACAAGGUACUGGAAAAGUUGGGGAGCACUGACAUCUCUGUCCUUUGCCAGUACAAAAAUACUGACAGAGAGCAAUGGACCAUUAUGGACAGUAUGUAUCUGGUUUGUUUGUUCUCAGUUUGUACACUGGGAUAGUUUAAAAGGGUAACUGAGUCAGUGAGACUUCCUGAAGGAGAAGGAAGAUGACCUCUUUCCUUAGAAACAUCUGGGCACAGCUGGAGAGGGAAAGUUCCGGAGAUUGACGUGUGUAGAAGAAGAAUGGAAACAGGAGCUGGGAGCCUGCUGGUAAAGCAGAGAGAUUCCUAAGAGGAGCAGGAAACAUCCAUAGGGUCAUCUCCACUACAGGAAAAAAGUGUAUGUCGACCCAUCUCAAGAUCCAGUGCACACUGGCUUCUUCUCAGAAAUCUAGCUCACAGUAACUCUUCUGAAUUCUGCAUACGAGUUUUGCACCUUCUGGCUCAGGGAUAAUGAAAUACAGGCUUUCAGCUUUUCUUGUUUUGCUUUUUGAGAAAACAUAUCCUGCUUGUUUUCGUAAGCUUUUAAAAGUGUUCAGAAGUGUUUAAAAAUGGCACGUGGCAGUGUACCAAAUUAACAUGGUAGGCAUAAUGAGUGUUAUCAUAUUUAUGUCUUACAUAUUACCUCCACCUUGAUAUCUCCUUUUUUUGAAGGAAAAAGCCUAUCAAGACUUAUCAUUUAAUAAAACAGUAAUUGCAGCAGUUGCUUUCUUUGGUACAAUCUAGAAAAGGAUGAAUGGGUCAGGAGAGCAAAAGAGCCUCUAAAUUCAACAUACCCAUGGGUAUUUCAGUAGGGAGGGUCUAUUAACUUCUUUGCUGUAUUGAGAAUUGUUUGGUCCAUGUUCUAGCACCAUAUUCUAUGUAUAAUAGAGUAUUCUUGAUAAUUCUUCACUGUAAGUUUUGCUCUACCAGUAACCGUCUUUGAAGCAGUGUAUGUGUGAGCCAGUACCGUAACCCUACAAUAGGCUGACGUGUUCUCAAAUAUUAUGUGAUGGACAGAGAACAGAAAAUAAUUUAUCUCGGUUGCUCUUCAAAGCAACAGAAGUGAGAGCCAGGUUGAGAAACAAACUCCUCUUUUCAGAUCUCUUUAUGGAAAUGUUCCAGGGAACUGGCUACUCUGAGUAAUUGUUUUCCAUUUAAUUAAGAUAGUAACAAAAGAUUAAGAGCCAAGAUGUCCUGAGUCAGAGAUAAAAUCGUGGGACACAAAAUUUAGAUAUAAUGAAGGAGAUUUUUGUUUUAAAGUGUUAUGUCUCUAGAACAAGUGAAAACUCAGGAGGGUGAUCGUGAAGCAGGUGUGUGUAAGUGAGCUCAGCAAUAUUAAUGCAAAAGGCUAUGAAAUGUAUAAGAAAAAUCAGUAUCUGCUGGAGAUGAAAGUGAAAGCCUUAUGUAGUGUUCAAAAAAUGAUAAAGGCAAGCAUCUGUCACUUCAGCCUGUUGGUUCAACUAUGUUUCAAGCUUGUACUCCUUAUUUAUUUUGCAACUGGUUAAGAAAGUCUGCAUGACUUAUUCAUUGCAGGGGAAAUAGUGAUUUUCAGUCCAAAAGUGCUUUGUCAUCUUCGUGUUUUCAUGAAUACAAGAACAUUUGUGCAAGUCUCAGAAGUAUGACUUCCCCAGGAAAAUAUUUUAACAGUUCAAUUUGACACUGGCGUUAUUAUACACCAUUUGAUCAAUAAGACUAGUAAUUUAGAGCUAAAGAGUGCCAGGAAGAAACUCUGUUUUCCCUUAUUUUAUGUGCCUAUAUUCUCCAUCAGCCUAAAGAAUUUGCAGGGAUCAACUUUUCAGUGCUGGACAAAUCAAUAGUUAAGCAAUCGUAGUAUGCAUAUGGGGUUAGAUGCCCAAGAAUGGAGUCUGCAGAAAACAUUAGAGAUAGUCAACAAGUGAUGAUAAUGAGAAGUCCUAAGUAAGCAUAAGUCUUACUCCUUAAAAAAGCGAAGGGUCUGCAUCUUCACAGCCAGUAACUCUUUCCUGAAAUUAGAUGCCCUUUCUAAGAAAUCCCCAAAGCAGGGGAGAGGCAGAUCCAAUAUAACUUAUUCCUUACUGUGAAACAUUCACUGUCAUUUUAAACUUAUUCUUCCAUCUUUGAAGGUGGCAGUGGGGGAAGGGAGUCCUGAGAGUGCUUUUUAUAGUUUCUUUAGAAGAAAUUGUUGCAUACUGUAUAAAGUAGUUGAACGGACUUAGAGCUGAUCAGAUCUCUCCAGUCUUUGAAUUCCUGCCAAGUUACUAUAUGUAAAAUGGAGACAUUUAAGAGGACUGAUUGAGAAAAUUUCACUCUAACGUAUUUGAGACAUGGUGAUAAUACAUUCCCUUGGGAAAUGGCUGAUGUGGUUCAAAUUAUGCUGAAAUUUAACCUUAAAUUAUCCUGGAUGAGUGAUUUAACCUUUGGGUUCUCUGAAAGAUGAGGACAUUAAAAGAUAAGGACAAAAGAUACAGUACUUUUUUCUUAAUUUUGUACAAGAAACAACCUCUUUGUCUAAGAACACCAGUUGCAUAUGGCCUCACAGGGGAGAAAGACGAUGGUACUUCCAUAAUUUGGGAAUUCCUUUUAAGGACAUUAAGCAGUUCUGGGUGUGCCUCAGGUAUUUUAUAAGCAAAAUUGAGGUACCGGGAAUGUUAGGCCUUUCCAGAGCAAGGAGCUGCCGAGUGAGGGCUUCGGGUAGGUAACUUUUCGAUUCAAUAUUUAGAUCUUGUACCCUAAUCUAUUUAUGCAUCUAGCUUAAUCUUCUCCUCCUUGCUCUAUGUUUAUGAUUGCUCUGUGAGAGAAGCCUUAAGGAGUGAGAACACCUCCUUUGAGGUUUCUUUAAGUGUGCGGUGAAAUUCUGAACAAAUGGCAAGACACCCACUGACUUCAGCUGCGCCAGGAAUUCACAUGUGGUUAAAAGAUAACUAGUUUUGUUUUUAUUGUACGUCUUUCCCCUUUGUUCAUGAGCAGUGGCAGUUAACCUAGCAUAAUGAGACUUACAGAGGUUCCCUGGACAAUAUUAUUAAAAAAAGAAAAAGGAAGCUGUCUAAUGUGUCUAAUAAUAGCUGAAUGAUAGCAAACUAUUCACACAGUUGUCUUUAUCAGCAGAGAAUGUAUGCAGGGACUAAAGAGAGGCCUUCCAAUCUUCUAUACCUCUGAAAUACGCAAAGCACUGAGCAACAAAAGGUGACAGAAAAUAUGCAUGUCCAUGUCAGAUAGUAUAAGUAGCUUUUAAUUAAAAUCAUUCCAAAUAGUCAACUACAUUUCCAAGUUCAUACAAGAUAUGUUCCAAGUUAACACUAGAUAUGCAAUUUAUGAGUUAACGUACAGACUUCCAGCCACUGCCAAUCACAGUCUGUAUUUAUAUACAGAUAACAUUGUAUGGAAAAAAGCUUAAAUCAGUCUUUUUUGCAGGCUAAGAAAACAGGGUGUGAACAAACUCAGUCUAAACAUUUUUCAUCCUUUUAUCCCCAAAAUUAUUUGGAUUGGAGGAUCAGAACAAAAUAUUUAUGCUAAUACUCAAUUUUGUUCUCCGUCCUUCAAAUAUUUCAAAAUUAAAUGUUGUGAUAGCUAUGGCUAAUAUGUUUUGUUUUCUGCUUGUCCUUUUUCAAAUCAUUGUGCCAGGAUUUAUCAUUCAUAUUUGUCAUUGUGUCUUUUAUAUCUUCUUCUUGUUUUAUUACUUAUUAAAAUGAAAUCGUUAUGACCGGAUUGUUCUGGCCAGUUAGAA